rnacentral:rRNA from 1 species
CCUACGGGUGGCAGCAGUGGGGAAUAUUGGGCAAUGGGCGCAAGCCUGACCCAGCAACGCCGCGUGAAGGAAGAAGGCUUUCGGGUUGUAAACUUCUUUUGACAGGGAAGAGCAGAAGACGGUACCUGUCGAAUAUGCCACGGCUAACUACGUGCCAGCAGCCGCGGUAAUACGUAGGUGGCAAGCGUUGUCCGGAUUUAUUGGGUUUAAAGGGUGCGUAGGCGGACUGGUAAGUCAGCGGUAAAAGCCCGGGGCUCAACCCCGGCGAGCCGUUGAAACUGGCUGUCUUGAGAUGUCGAGAGGUAUGCGGAAUGCGCAGUGUAGCGGUGAAAUGCUUAGAUAUUGCGCAGAACUCCGAUUGCGAAGGCAGCAUACCGGCGGCGAUCUGACGCUGAGGCACGAAAGCGUGGGUAUCGAACAGGAUUAGAUACCCUAGUAGUC